AAAUUGAAGAGUUUGAUCAUGGCUCAGAUUGAACGCUGGCGGCAGGCCUAACACAUGCAAGUCGAACGGUAACAGGAAGCAGCUUGCUGCUUUGCUGACGAGUGGCGGACGGGUGAGUAAUGUCUGGGAAACAAGGCGACGAUCCCUAGCUGGUCUGAGAGGAUGACCAGCCACACUGGAACUGAGACACGGUCCAGACUCCUACGGGAGGCAGCAGUGGGGAAUAUUGCACAAUGGGCGCAAGCCUGAUGCAGCCAUGCCGCGUGUAUGAAGAAGGCCUUCGGGUUGUAAAGUACUUUCAGCGGGGAGGAAGGUGUUGUGGUUAAUAACCGCAGCAAUUGACGUUACCCGCAGAAGAAGCACCGGCUAACUCCGUGCCAGCAGCCGCGGUAAUACGGAGGGUGCAAGCGUUAAUCGGAAUUACUGGGCGUAAAGCGCACGCAGGCGGUCUGUCAAGUCGGAUGUGAAAUCCCCGGGCUCAACCUGGGAACUGCAUUCGAAACUGGCAGGCUUGAGUCUUGUAGAGGGGGGUAGAAUUCCAGGUGUAGCGGUGAAAUGCGUAGAGAUCUGGAGGAAUACCGGUGGCGAAGGCGGCCCCCUGGACAAAGACUGACGCUCAGGUGCGAAAGCGUGGGGAGCAAACAGGAUUAGAUACCCUGGUAGUCCACGCCGUAAACGAUGUCUACUUGGAGGUUGUGCCCUUGAGGCGUGGCUUCCGGAGCUAACGCGUUAAGUAGACCGCCUGGGGAGUACGGCCGCAAGGUUAAAACUCAAAUGAAUUGACGGGGGCCCGCACAAGCGGUGGAGCAUGUGGUUUAAUUCGAUGCAACGCGAAGAACCUUACCUGGUCUUGACAUCCACRGAACUUUCCAGAGAUGGAUUGGUGCCUUCGGGAACYGUGAGACAGGUGCUGCAUGGCUGUCGUCAGCUCGUGUUGUGAAAUGUUGGGUUAAGUCCCGCAACGAGCGCAACCCUUAUCCUUUGUUGCCAGCGGUCCGGCCGGGAACUCAAAGGAGACUGCCAGUGAUAAACUGGAGGAAGGUGGGGAUGACGUCAAGUCAUCAUGGCCCUUACGACCAGGGCUACACACGUGCUACAAUGGCGCAUACAAAGAGAAGCGACCUCGCGAGAGCAAGCGGACCUCAUAAAGUGCGUCGUAGUCCGGAUUGGAGUCUGCAACUCGACUCCAUGAAGUCGGAAUCGCUAGUAAUCGUGGAUCAGAAUGCCACGGUGAAUACGUUCCCGGGCCUUGUACACACCGCCCGUCACACCAUGGGAGUGGGUUGCAAAAGAAGUAGGUAGCUUAACCUUCGGGAGGGCGCUUACCACUUUGUGAUUCAUGACUGGGGUGAAGUCGUAACAAGGUAACCGUAGGGGAACCUGCGGUUGGAUCACCUCCUUA
rnacentral:rRNA from 1 species